AAACAUAAAAUGAAGAUCUUGUCACAAUUUGUAGUUUUAUUACCAAUAGUACUUAGUAAGUUUUCAGUAUGUUCCCAACUGUUAAUUAGCUUCAUGUCAUUGAGAGCAGAUUGACAAAAUUUCUAGUCAGCAGUAAUAUUGGUUAGAAUACAUGCUGUUUUUAAAGCGUAUGCAAAAAAUAUUGUGUUUUUUCUUUUUUCCACAGCUGUAGCAAAAGUCACAAGAUGCACAUGCUUCAUGCUAAUCACAUUGAAAUAAAGCAACUGAUAUACAGAAACUUGAAAUGGGUGGGGUGGGGAGCACAAACAUAGAAUCUGCCUGGGUGGUUUCAAUUAAUGUCAUUGUCCAGUACAAGGACAGGAUGAGUUGAUCCAGAAAAGAAAACCUAGCAGCUUGUUUUAACAUGAGAGAUGCACACUCUGAAAUGCUGAUGAGGAAUUCAAAUAACUAUUCAGUUGUGACAGCUGUAAUCCUUUUUUGAGCCAGCUAUAGUGCAUUUGAGAAAAACAUGGUUUACUGGGAAAGCUACUGAACGCCAUCUUUUCAGAGUCAUAGAGAGUGAAGCCCCAAGUUUGAAAGUUUUAAUUGGAUUUCUAAGGGCUAAUUCAGUACUGUAGUCGAUUAAUGUUAUAAUAUAGCUAUAGUUGCGAAGUUUAGGAAUUAGGUUAUUCUCCCCCACCCCAUGUCUCUGUACACAGCUGCAAAAUACUUCUCCAUGUUGAAAGAAUAAGUCCUUCCAGAACAUGAAAGAUUGGAGAGAAUUUUGCUUAAGUUUUCUAGGGUAUGGGUGGGGAACCUCCAACCUGCAGGCCAAGUUUGGUGUGUGAGGCUGCUUUCUCCCCAAACCUUGCACCACAUGUGUGUAUCCCCUAUAUCCCCCAAUACUAACUUUGAUUGGAGUUGUCACUCAUAGGCUGCCCCUUAGUCCCAUUUAUUGGGUUUGGUGUUUUAUGUGCGUAUGUGUAGCGUGUUUGUUCUGCCUCUCCACCCCAGCCUCACACUGCAUACUGAAGAGCUUGACAUGUUAGCAGUCUAAACUACGGUACAUUCCUUUAAAAAAAAAAAAGUACAAUUAACAAGUGGUGAGGAAGAGUUGUAGAAUGCAGAUACUGCAUAGAACUGCUAGUGAGUUCACUGCUAAGCUGCCUGUAUCAGACUCAUCUGUGCAGAUGUAUUGGUAUGUUUUGAGUGGAUGUCUGGCAAAAUCAGAAGUGGGUACUUUACCUCAAUCCCCAGAGCAAUCCUCCUACUGUUUCUAAAGAAAAUAAACCAUUUUCUUUUGCUGUCUGCAAUAAACACAGCUGAAGUCCAUUGAGUGUGGAAGUUAUUUGCAAGAUUUAUAGGACAGAAUAAGUUGUCCUGGUUAUAGUGUAACAUGAAUGCACUGUACGUUUACUAAGUACCUCGUGAAAGAGAGAGCAUGUGCAGGAAAUGGAAGAAGUGAUUAUGGUUCUUGAAUAGAAAAUAAAGCAUAGUCUUAUGGUCACUUCUUUGGACUUGGGGGGGGCAUUGCUUUAUGAAAAGAGAAGAUAACAACAUUACACUGAAGACGUGGUUGAUUUAGAAAUUUAAGAGGUGGUGGCUGGCAAAAUAGGUUGGGGAAUGAGAAGUCUUGGGAGAGGCUACUUCUAUUCUGUCAGAUAUAAAUUCUAGUUUCUGCUAGACUUUAUGUAAUAUGAACGCCACUGUUGUUUUGUAUUUUGAUUUAAUAACUUUUGUUUUGAAGUGAACGUUAAUAACACCUCAUCCUCCAGAUUUACUGACCACUUGAGACAUUUGUCAGUUGUAAAAUAGACUUAUGAUAGGGGAUAUUAGCUCGGGGGAGAAAAAUGGUAUAAUUUUGCACACAGAUGUUACGUUUCUGUAGUAUAAAGAGCCAUUGUUUAUAUCUGAAGGUUUCCAGUUCAGUAUGUCAGGCAGAGGAAAUAACAAUCUCAGGCAGCAUUUUGUAGUUAGCAGUGUGAGCAGAUAAGUCAGUACAUAUACCAAUAUAUUGAUUAAAGACUAGAAAACCAUGUUUGUCUUAGAAAUUAUGUGUUGCUUUUAAUUACAUUUCUGUGUUUGUGGCAUCUCUUGUAUACAGAGUUCAUGUACUGUUCCACCCCCCACCCCCUUGUUCCUCCACUCACAGGAUUUUAUAUUUCUGGUCAUUAAAGCCUUCAGAAACAAAACACCUAAGAUUUAUCUAAAACAGAAGUGGGAAACCAUUGCCUUUGCAAGUCUUGUUGGACUGCAACUUUCAUCAACCCCAAGCAGCAUAGGUAGUGAUGUGGGAUGAUAGGAGUUACAUACAAGGACAUCUGGAGGGACACAGUUGCCCAUCCCUGAUCAAAAGUACUUUGUCUCCAUUUCUUACCUUUAAGGAAUAUAUGGACUUCCUGACACUUCUCUGUGGCAGUAUUGCCAUCUAAAUUGCUGUCUGAACUUAGUUUCUUUGACAACACUGUUCAAGCCAACGUUUGCGUUUUAUCGGUGGCUUAUGGCAACAUCUUUGUGAACUGAAAACCUAUGAACUGUCAAGGACGGGCAGGAGUCCGAGAGCUGGGCAGAGGAGGUGGGAGAGCAGGAGGAUGAUCUUAGGGAAGACACCAGUGAUUUGUCGGGUUCUUUGCCACCGGUGAGGCAGGAGGAAGAGAGAGAGGAAGAAUCUGGGCAGUCAGAGAAGUGGGGGAAGAGUUGCAGGAAGACAGAGUCCCAGAGAGAGCUGGGCCAUUAAACUCUCCCGGGUCUCCUCCCCUGUUGUUUCCAAGGAUAGUACUCAUUUUAUGUCUGCUUGAGCCUGACAUAUAGCCCACACAGUCAAUCCUUUGAGAAAGUCACUGUAGAACAGAGUAAAAUUCUUAAAAGUUGUAUAAUAUGUAUAAUGAAAUACAAAGCUACAUACAGUCAGAGAAAUAGCUGGCACCUGCAGCUACCAAGAUGCACCAGUACCUCACACUUCUGAUUAUUUCAGUGUUUUGUUAUUCUUGCAAGCUUUAAAUACACAGCCAGUUUGUAAAAAAUUUUCACUCAAAUUGCAGAGCUGCUGCAUGUAGUGUUCAAGGUACUUUUCCAAUUAGGAUCUGGUUGUUGCAACAUCCAAAGCCCCUACAAGUGGAAUUAUUGCAUGUGAAUAUAUAACCAACAGGCUUAAGUCUAAUUAAUGCAUGAAGGGGUUAAGACCAUGGAGUAAGCUAUACUGCCAGGCUUUACCUAGGUCACUCUGCCUCACCUUGGGAGGAAGGUAAUCAAGCCUAUUGUUGAACCUCUAGUCUACCUGAUGAAUUCAGCAUGUGAAGAGGCAAAGUUGGUUGGUCCAGCUGGUUGGUCCAGUUUAGCCACAUGUAUCUCACAAGCCAUUCUUGUGUUCCUAUACCAAUAAUUUAGGAACUUUUACUACUUUUUGACUAAGCCAAGUUUUACUGUUUGUGCAACCUUUCUGACUCCUAGUUUUCACCAUUACCUCCACCUCCGUAUUGUUCUAGAAGGUUCCCAGUCCAUUAGGACAAGCUUUUUAGGUUGCUCAGGGGCUGCAUUCGAUAGAAAGAAUAGGAAAUUUUUUAGUGCUUUGCCUUGUGUGAGCAGAAAUAAUUCCCACUAGUGCUAUCAUAGGAUAUAACCAAUGUUAUCCAUUUAUGUACCCAUUUGGGAACUUGCUUAGAGUCUCUGUAGAUGAAUGUUUAGCUUCUAAACUAUGUCAGGUUCAUAUAAUAAGAAGUUGGACUUAAGGCCCAGGGUUCCAGCUGGAAAAGUCUCAAGAAUCUUAAUUAGAACAACAAAACACCAUUGCAUAAUAACCCUAUGUUUUUAUUUCAAAUUUUGGAAGGAGAAAAUUGCUUACUGCCAUUAAAGCUCUAAAAGCAUUGGCUUGGCUUCUUGCAUAACUAGUCAGCCAACUACUAGCGAUACUAGUGUGAAAACAGAAUAGGAAAUAAAAGAAAACAUGUAUGUCUUUUUGGAGAUGUGAUCAGCAAUGCCUGGAAGAGCAACUAACGGUGCUUAUUUAUAAAUUUGGAUUUUGUUGUUAAAGGAGACUUGUUGCUGGGGAAGGGGUUGAUUCUAUUCAUUGAAGGAAAAAUCAGUUGUUUUAUAUAUAUAUUCCGACCACAAUGAGUUUUGAAGGUGCUUUAUUCGGAGCCUUUAUCAAUCUUACACUAAAUAAUCUGAUCAGUAUUCCGUCUUACCCUGAAAAGAGCAAAUAAAGCAUAACUCUUUGGGGAUUAAUUUACUAUAGCCUGAAGCAGUAAUGCUUCCCUGACAAACAUUUUGUUGAAUAAGCAGCAUCAUACCAUCUGUUGACAGCUUGUACUUGUUACAGUAGCCAAUGUCCAGGUGUGGUCUUCAGUGGCCAGUUUUUGGUCACUGAAAUGCAAAGAUUCCUGGAUCCAUUACAUAAUGUGGAUAGAGUGUCAAAAAGUGUUUGUUUCACAGUGUUUCAAAAGAAGGCUAAUGUUUUGUACUGGCAAUUUAUUAUUGGUAACUGUCAUCCAUGCUAUACUAGUCUUGAGGACUGCAGUCAUCUAUUAUGCAUGAGGCUAACUUGAAUCUGAAAAUGUAGGGCUACCUGUGAUGCAAGAUUUAGAUAAUUGUUUCUGCUGCUGCUGUGCUGUUUGGGGCUAAACCAUGGUUUGGCUUUGUAUUUUGUGUAACCCUGUUGUACCACCCCAAUGUUUGCAGAACAUUUCUUGCUUCCAUUGGGGAAUGCUAGGCAUUAAUAUAUUUUGGAAUAUAUAUGAGUUUUUUGGAAGAAAUUUUGCAGCUACAGUUAUGCAAGUAUGGUAUAUGUGCUAUAUUUUCAAACAAGCGCACAUUGCUAUUCGAUGAGGGGUCUCAAGGACAGGAUCUAAAUCAACAUAAUGGGUCAUAUGUUAUAUUUAGAAAAAAACCACAUUUGUUAAUUUUUAUUGUAGUACAUGUAGUAUUAUGAGCUGAUACUAAUAGCGGGAAAUCAGUUCUAUCAGUUGUUUGGUCUCCUUCCAAACAGUUAACAAAGAUUUUAAUGGCUCCUUCAAACAACCAAACAACCAAAAAUAAAAAUAAAAAUAAAAUCUCCAUCCACAUCUCAUUGCAGUAUUUCCUAAUAGUGAGCAUAACUAUUACCCGUAUCUUUACAGGUGUAUUAGGAAAGUGACCAACACAAGCAAUGUACAAAAUAAUAAUAUAUUCUAGAUUUUUAAUGUAAUAUUUAUAGAUAAGGAAGUACCAAAAUGUGCAAUCCUUGUAGCAAAUGAAUCCUGCUACUCUCACCAAUAUUACUCUUGACUGUAUGUAAAUGAACAUCUAUGACACUAGUCACAAUUUAAGUAGUCUUAGAAGUUCAUAUACUUUAAAUGAACGGUUAACAAUGAAUCUAGAGCACAUAAACUUUGAAUGACUUGUAACAAGAAUUGACGAUUCAGUAUAUUCAAUUAGUCUUUCAAAGGCAUUUAUUUGUUCAGCUUUCCCCUCGAAAUGGUAAAGAGAAUGCUAAUCAUAAGCUGUUGAAACUUGUCAGCAUUAGCAUUCAAAAUCCUAUGCCCCUGCUUUUCUUUAAAGGUCUUUGGUUAAAGUCAUUACAUGUUUUCACUAGCACAUUCAUAAAUUAUUCUGAGAUAAAGAAAAAUGGCUUGGCACAGCCAAUUCACUUCCAGAUUGAUGAUCAGCUUUUUUAAGGGGUGACUUUGUUUUUACAGAAGGUUGAUUCACACAUUUAUCUCCAUUUUCUAUAGCAAGCUGGUUCCAACGGUUCUGAAUUGGAUCUUGUGUGUGUGUGUGUGUGCUUGCACACACUAUCUCUCAUAAUCAUUCCUAUACAGAAAUAUAAAUCUAUACAGAUACUUGUGUUUCAUUUUCAUGCAAGUGGGACCAGAGUGGCUGGGGCAACCCAGUCAUAUGGGCAGGGUACUACUACUAGUGCUGCUAUUGCUACUACUAUGUUGUCAUGGGGAGUGUCUCUAUUUAGUGUUCCAAUAUACACCUUUCCAUAUCCCCCCUUUUGUUUUCAACUUCCAACAGAUAAUCGGUAUCAGACAAUACACCAAUAAGAGUGUCUAGUUUUCAUUAGUCUAUUUCAGGGUGCUUUGAUGUCUUAAGCCCUCCCCCUUUUAAUAUAUGUUUACUUUUCUGCAGCUUUUGGUUCCCCCAGACUAGCUUAUAUCUUUUUCUUGCUUGUGGUAAUUCAUUUGGCUACAUGAGAACAUUAAUUUGGAAAACAAUUUCCUUAUUAGUAUACAUGAUAUGCUUUUAUUGUACAUUUAUGUGAAUGCAGGUUAGAUUAUUUGUAGUAUCUUCAUACUUUAUGUGUGCAUUCAAGGCAAAGUCAUUUUCCUACUUACAUCCCAUUUUAUUUUAAUAGCUACUCCUUUACUUUUAUCAUUUGCUUUUCUAUUGCAGUUGCCAAAUCU
rnacentral:lncRNA from 1 species